UACAACCAUAUCACAUGGAAACACCAGUUCUCAUACAACCACCAUAGUUAAGCAAUGUCAAGCCUAGUCAGUACCAGGCUGGGUAACAACUUGGGAAUACGAGGUGCUGUAUG